rnacentral:rRNA from 1 species
UUAAAAAGUAUAUAAUAAAAUUAGAGUAGUAAUAGAUAUAUUCUUAAAACUUAAAAAAUUUGGCGGUAUUUUAAUCUAUUUAGAGGAACCUGUUUUAUAAUUGAUAAUCCACAUUGUAUCUUACUUAAAUUUGUAUAAUUUGUAUAUCGUUGUCAUAAGAAUAUCUUAAAAAAGAAAUAAUUUUCUAAUUUAAAAAUUGUUAGUUAUGUCAGAUCAAGGUGCAGUUUAUAUUUAAGUAAAAAUGGGUUACAAUAAAUUUAUUUAUUAUGAAUUAAAAAUUUAAAUAUUUUUAUGAAGGUGGAUUUAAUAGUAAA